GAUGAACGCUGGCUACAGGCUUAACACAUGCAAGUCGAGGGGAAACGACGGGGAAGCUUGCUUCCCGGGGGUCGGCCGGCGCACGGGGGGGUAAAGCGGAACCAACCUGGCUCUGACUGAGGGAUAACCCGUCGGAAGGCGGCCUAAUACCCCAAGGUAACGGCUGCGGGCAUCCAAAGACGAAUAAAGAUUUCAUCGGUCAGGGAUGGGGAUGCGUCUGAUUAGCUUGUUGGCGGGGUAACGGCCCACCAAGGCUACGAUCAGUAGGGGUUCUGAGAGGAAGGUCCCCCACAUUGGAACUGAGACACGGUCCAAACUCCUACGGGAGGCAGCAGUGAGGAAUAUUGGUCAAUGGGCGAGAGCCUGAACCAGCCAAGUAGCGUGCAGGAAGACGGCCCUAUGGGUUGUAAACUGCUUUUAUGCGGGGAUAAAGUGAGGGACGUGUCCCUCAUUGCAGGUACCGCAUGAAUAAGGACCGGCUAAUUCCGUG
rnacentral:rRNA from 1 species